UAAAACAAAUGUGAAAAGGAGAAAAUACAGUAAUUAAUUACCUGGAUUCUUACUUAGGAAUUAAAUCUGUCCCUCCCAAAAUGUGCCAUGUGCAGAGAAGUGAUUCAGACUGUAGCCCAGCCAGAUGUGGUGGUUUAUGCCUAUAAUUCCAGCACUUUGAGAGGCCAAGUGGGAGGGUCACUUGAGCCCACAGGUUCAAGACCAUCUUGAGCAACAUAGUGAGACUUCUAUCUCUACAAAAAAAAAUUUAGGCCAGGCUCAAUG
rnacentral:lncRNA from 1 species